GAUGUAUAUUGUUUACGUAUAAUGUGAUUUGGGAGUUUAUAAUAGUAAUGAGAUAUUAAUCGGUUACUUGUAUAUCUGGUUGUUUAUAAAAUAGUAGAAACUAGUAUAGGUUAGAAUUUAUAAGAUUAGUUAUAAAUUGCAUCAGAUAAAAAAUAGUAUAAAGACAUAGGUUGCUUUAAUGGUAAGAAUUACUAGUGUGUUAUAACAAAUGUUAGUAAAAUUAGGAUUAAAAUUUGGACUGAGGAGAAGUAAACAAUAAAGUAUAAUAGAAUAGUUUUAAAUAAAAUGAUAGAAUGAGUAUAUAUAUUAAUAAGUAUUAUAAUAAUAUAAAAUGAUAAAAUAAUGUUGGAUGAUAGUUAAGUAUAAAUAACUCGGCAAUAAAAUUCUGAACUGUUUAACAAAAACAUUUUCUUUUAAGUAAAAGGUAGAGCCUGCCCGGUGUAAUAAUAAACGGCUGCGGUAUUCUGACCGUACGAAGGUAGCAUAAUAAAUAGUCUUUUAAUUGGGGACUGGAAUGAAAGGUUUAAUCAGGAAUUUGCUUUUUUAUAUAUAAAGGUAUAAAUUAAUUAAUAAGUUAAAAGGCUUAUGUAUUUUAAAGUGACAAGAAGACCCUAAGAGUUUGACAAGUGAUAUUAGAGCAAUAGUUAAGUAGUAGUGAAACAAGUCUAAUAAAAUUUGUUUGACUGGGGCGGUUAAAAUAUUAUCUAUUUUGUUAAGGACAUUAAUGGGGGGAGUAGGUUUAGUUAAGAUCCUAAUUGGAAAGCAAAAUAAAUUACCUUAGGGAUAACAGCAUAAUCUUUUUUGAGAGACCGUAUUGACGGGAAGGUUUGUGACCUCGAUGUUGGAUUUGAAUAACUUUUUGGAGCUAGUAUG
rnacentral:rRNA from 1 species